UACGGGGGGAGCAAGCGUUGUUCGGAUUUACUGGGCGUAAAGGGCGCGUAGGCGGCCACCGCAAGUCGACUGUGAAAUCUCCGGGCUUAACUCGGAAAGGUCAACUGAUACUGUGCGGCUAGAGUGCGGAAGGGGCAACUGGAAUUCUUGGUGUAGCGGUGAAAUGCGUAGAUAUCAAGAGGAACACCUGCGGCGAAGGCGGGUUGCUGGGCCGACACUGACGCUGAGGCGCGAAAGCCAGGGGAGCGAACGGG
rnacentral:rRNA from 1 species